rnacentral:rRNA from 1 species
GACGAACCGUGCGAACGUUAUUCGGAAUCACUGGGCUUAAAGCGCGUGUAGGCGGGACGGCACGUCUGUCGCUGAAAUCCCCCGGCUCAACCGGGGAACUGGCGUAGAUACGACCGUCCUGGAGGGGCGUAGGGGGACCUGGAACUUCCGGUGGAGCGGUGAAAUGCGUUGAGAUCGGAAGGAACGCCCGUGGCGAAAGCGAGGUCCUGGACGCCUACUGACGCUGAGACGCGAAAGCCAGGGGAGCGAACGGG